AAGGAAACACCAGUUCUCUUAUGAUCACUACAGUUAAGCAAUGUUGAUCCUGGUCAGUACCUCAAUUGGUGACAUCUUGGGUAUACCAGGUGUUGUAAG